rnacentral:rRNA from 1 species
UACGGGGGGGGGCAAGCGUUGUUCGGAAUUACUGGGCGUAAAGGGCUCGUAGGCGGCCAACUAAGUCAGACGUGAAAUCCCUCGGCUUAACCGGGGAACUGCGUCUGAUACUGGAUGGCUUGAGUUUGGGAGAGGGACGCGGAAUUCCAGGUGUAGCGGUGAAAUGCGUAGAUAUCUGGAGGAACACCGGUGGCGAAGGCGGCGUCCUGGACCAACACUGACACUGAUGAGCGAAAGCAUGGGGAGCGAACAGG